GGGGCGUUAGCUCAGUCGGUUAGAGCAUCGGACUCAUAAUCCGCCGGUCCUAGGUUCAAAUCCUAGCCCCG
rnacentral:tRNA from 1 species